UGAGUAACGCGUAGGUAACCUGCCUGGUAGCGGGGGAUAACUAUUGGAAACGAUAGCUAAUACCGCAUAAGAGUAGAUGUUGCAUGACAUUUACUUAAAAGGUGCAAUUGCACCACUACCAGAUGGACCUGCGUUGUAUUAGCUAGUUGGUGGGGUAACGGCUCACCAAGGCGACGAUACAUAGCCGACCUGAGAGGGUGAUCGGCCACACUGGGACUGAGACACGGCCCAGACUCCUACGGGAGGCAGCAGUAGGGAAUCUUCGGCAAUGGACGGAAGUCUGACCGAGCAACGCCGCGUGAGUGAAGAAGGUUUUCGGAUCGUAAAGCUCUGUUGUAAGAGAAGAACGAGUGUGAGAGUGGAAAGUUCACACUGUGA
rnacentral:rRNA from 1 species